rnacentral:rRNA from 1 species
ACGGAGGGUGCAAGCGUUAUCCGGAUUUAUUGGGUUUAAAGGGUGCGCAGGCGGAAUUGUAAGUCAGUGGUGAAAGCCCACAGCUCAACUGUGGAACUGCCAUUGAUACUGCAUUUCUUGAAUAUAGUUGAAGUAAGCGGAAUGUAUCAUGUAGCGGUGAAAUGCAUAGAUAUGAUACAGAACACCAAUUGCGAAGGCAGCUUACUAAGCUACUAUUGACGCUCAGGCACGAAAGCGUGGGGAGCAAACAGG